rnacentral:misc_RNA from 1 species
AUAUAUGGGCUGGCGCGUAUGUGUAUAUAUAUAUAUAUAUGUGUGUGUGUGUGUGCCGUGUGUGGCCUAUUCUUGUUCUCCAGUAGCAACUCCCACCCCCAAAGAAUGCAUCCACAUGUCUUUUGCCGCCGAUAUAUACGUUUAUGUGUGUGUGUGUGCGUGUUCGUCGGCGUUGCUCGAAGCAGACACACACGUACACACACACACACACACAUACAUCAAGAAAAGGCAAAAAAAAGCAGCAGCAGCAGCGGCGGGGUGGGUGAGAGACGCACACACGCACGUAAGAUAUAUUGAUAUGUGCCACAGUGAAAAGAAAAAAGCGGACAAAAGCGAAGGCCGAUGCCAAACAAGGAAGAUCACGACACUGCAGAGAAGAUGCUCUCUUUCUCGAUCACUCUCGUUUUCCUGUCUGUUGCCGUUGUUCAGCUCGUCUUCGACAUAUUCCUUUAUCUGUUCGUCCCACGACUCCUACCAUUGCUGUACCGUUGUCAUUGAUCCCUGGUGUACCAAGGCCGCAGACGGAUAGGCAAGCACAAGCACCGUCUCGAUGAUGGUGGAAGUGUUUAUGUGUAUGCGCGCAUGUGCUAUUAUUCGCCUCAUUCUUUCUUUUAUUAUUUAUGUAUUGAUGCUAUUUCGGUUGGCAGAGACCAUUGAGUGCACAUUAUGCACGCCGUUGUGAAACUUGGUGCGUCUCUCAUUUUUCUUUCAGGUGUGUGCGUGUGUGCUGAGCUGCUUGCUUGCGUGCGAGAGAGGUAGGAGGCAAAGUAAGGCGGUCGCUGCAUGCGCGCGCGCGGGCUUGCAAGCUCAACCCUCAUUGCGCACGCCACUUCAUUGUACUCAUAUUCCCUCUCCGCCGCCACCACCGCCAUCUGUAGGUGCGGGAGAAGAGGAAGCGAAGCAACAAACAUCAAUCAACUGCAAGACAAAAAAAGUGUAAAAGGAACCUGCAACACAAUCGUACACCACUCGCGCACACGGGAUACCAUCACGUGUGAUGCUAUGAGUGCGUGCGGUGGCAUCGUGGUCGCUUGCUAUGCUCUGUCUCUCUCUCCUUUCGUGUUCUUGUUCAUCCUCUCCUGUCCUUCUUUUUUAUCUUUUGUUUUUGUGCAUUUUUUGCGUGUUGGCCAUAAUCCGUCUUUCCCUUGUGCUGUUAUGCUGUUGUGUGUCUUACUUCGUCGUUCGCCGUUGCAUACAUAUAUAUAUAUAUAUAUAUAGUUUUUUUUUGUGUUCUGGUUUGUGUGCACACGCGCGUGAUGCCGCCAUUAUCACCGCCCUUCCCCCUCGUCUUCUUGCUUUUUUAUUCUUCUGUUUCGUGCCCUCGAGUGGAGUGCGGACGCGCUUAGUCGUUGUUCUCUUGGCUCUCCCCGGCGCCCGGGAGUGGUAGUCGUGCGAGUCUUCUGUUUGUUUCGUAAAGGCCUCCCUGCCUGCGUGCCUGCGUCUCUCGCUUUCUGUAGGUGUACAUGUAAGUACAUAUACAUGCAUGCGUUUAUGUGUGUGUGUGUGUGUGUUGGGCAUACGUGCUCGCUCGGUGUAGGUGCGCGUGACUGAUUGUGUGCACCCCCCCCCCCCAUCGCUGCCCACUUUAUUCUCUCCUCCCUCUAUCUUCCUCACCUCUUCCACCGAAUGCAUUCUUGUAUGCAUUGGUGCUUCGCAGAUUCUUGUCGCCCCCCUCCUCCAUCAUCAUCCCCAGACUUUUUUUUCGUGGCUUCUCUCUUGCGUCUAGUCCCUACUAAAACCGCUGUUGACAAUUAUGAGCAGCAUCCUCAUCGCCGUUUAUCUCCCAACCCCUCUUCCCACCCCUCCUUUGUUUUCUUGCGUGUGCGUGCACGCUUGUCCGGCUUGCUCGCGGUACCGAGAGCAUGAGCAACAACAACGAGCCCAAAGUCGAAAAGGCUGCUCGUGGUGUCGGGGGGGGGGUGGUGGGCAGGGUGGAUGGAUGUCGUCGCGGAAAAAGCCAAGAGGCGAAACAAAGGCUGGGGCGGGGGGGGGGAAGGUUGGCGGAGGGAGACAAAGAAGGAGGCAGGCAAGAGUGAGUGGGCGCGGAUAAAGGAUGAGUGGUGGUGUGGUGCGGUGUGUGUGUGCGCGCGAGGCAGAGGUGAAGGAAAGGAUCUCUGUGCUUAUAUAUGCGUAUAUGUGUAUGUACAGCUAUGCAGUGCGAGGCGUCGAAACAGGCAUCGUGUGCUCUUUCUCUUAGACUAGGAUAGUCCAGUCAAGCCGCAAUCGAAAAGAGCGAGCGAGCGAAACACACUCACGCACACACCAUUCCUUUUCCUUCCUCACACGAACGCACACGCAUGAGCGCACACAGAGGAGGAUAGCCAGCUGGCAACAGCGACACCAGCGACGAGGCAGGCGCGAAGAG